CAGAGGAAGACACCACAAAGCGCGGCAGUGAUCCACCACAACCCCCACCUGAGCAAAGAUUUGACCAUGGGAGACCACAGAGAAGAGACGAGAAAUCUCAACCCUCCUUUUCACCCGUUCAUCACCCUUCA